UCCCGCCGGACCUGACUGCUAUCGGAUUGAUACUAAGCCAUGCGAGUCUUUGUAGUAAUACAAGGCAUACGGCUCAGUAACACGUAGUCAACCUACCCUAUGGACGAGAAUAAUCUCGGGAAACUGAGCAUAAUUCUUGAUAGAUCAUAAUGCCUGGAAUGGUUUAUGGUUAAAAUGAUUCGUCGCCAUAGGAUGGGACUGCGGCCUAUCAGCUUGUUGGUGAGGUAAUGGCCCACCAAGGCGAUUACAGGUACGGGCUCUGAGAGGAGAAGCCCGGAGAUGGGUACUGAGACACGGACCCAGGCCCUAUGGGGCGCAGCAGGCGAGAAAACUUUGCAAUGUGCGAAAGCACGACAAGGUUAAUCCGAGUGAUUUCUGCUAAAGAAAUCUUUUGCCAGUCGUGAAACCGCUGGUGAAUAAGGGGUGGGCAAGUUCUGGUGUCAGCCGCCGCGGUAAAACCAGCACCUCAAGUGGUCAGGAUGAUUAUUGGGCCUAAAGCAUCCGUAGCCUGCUUUGUAAGUUUUCGGUUAAAUCCAUGUGCUCAACGCAUGGGCUGCCGAAAAUACUGCAUAGCUAGGGAGUGGGAGAGGUAGACGGUACUCAGUAGGUAGGGGUAAAAUCCUUUGAUCUAUUGAUGACCACCUGUGGCGAAGGCGGUCUACCAGAACACGUUCGACGGUGAGGGAUGAAAGCUGGGGGAGCAAACCGGAUUAGAUACCCGGGUAGUCCCAGCUGUAAACGAUGCAGACUCGAUGAUGCAUUGGCAUAAUAGCCAUUGCAGUGUCGCAGGGAAGCCGUUAAGUCUGCCGCCUGGGAAGUACGUACGCAAGUAUGAAACUUAAAGGAAUUGGCGGGGGAGCACCACAAGGGGUGAAGCCUGCGGUUCAAU
rnacentral:rRNA from 1 species